CAUGUUGGCAAUGUCGAAAGUGGCAAACGGAACAUCAAAUAAACUCGGGAUUUAAACGUAGGUGGACGUAGGUCCACCUUCGUAGGUGGAAAACGAAUCGGAAGACGAAUCGGAUGGCAAUGCAAAAACGGAACGCACUCAUAUCAGAACACAAUAACUGGCGAAGAAAUGAAAAUUCUUCAAAAGUUACGCAACAUCGGAUUGAACAACAUCAGUGUUUCCGGUGUAGAUCUCGGUGUGCGGAAUAUGGCUGCAACUGUGAUUCGAACGUGGAACGAAUCCGGCAUUGCCGAGUCCAAUGUCAUACACAAAUCGAAAGACUACCAUUACAAAGCCGGUUUCAACAAACGUCGACGGAUUCUACAGAAAAUAACCAGUGAAUUCGACCGAAAAUAUCAAACCGACCGUCAAACCAAUGGAAACGAACCUUCGUCGAAAAAUGGCAACUUCCGGAAGUAUCUCCAUUCCCGACUCAAAUGGUUUACGGACAACGCAAAGUUGCUAAUUUGAAAUUCUCGAAAUACGUCGCCACACAACAACAAAUGAUGGUGAUGGAUUGGCAAUGAAACGAAGCCAUGUCACUGUCACAUUGUCAUCAUGGGUGACUGAUCCACACCAGCAAAUUCGACUAUACGCGGUUACUUGCGUUCGCCAGGUGAAAAACGAUUGACACAAGCAUUGAAACAAAUUCCCAAUACAUGAGUCUUCACUCAAGAUGAAUGUUGAUCUACAAAGAAUUGUAGCAAAUGCUACAACGAGCCGGACACUGUUGAGUCUACCAAAGUCAGGCUUGAAAUUUGCACCAAAAUUUGUAAGCUGCUUGGUGAUUCCAUGCCAGCAGAAAACAUCACAACGAAUAGAUCAAAACGAUCCGUCAGGGAUGCAGUAGCAAAUAUCGGUACGAAACCAUCCCAGUUCGAACGAGCGCAAUGGUCGGACACACUACAACAGAGAUAUAAACGCUGCACGAAACAUCAUGAAUCUAGGACUGUGGCGUUUUGGGCAAUACAUCGAUUCGUCCCUUCCUGCCAUCGAGAAUACAGCAUUCUCUCGCACAGGAUGGAAAAGAUUUUAUCGAUCGUAAUACGUCAAAAUCAUCCACAGAAACUAAAAAAAAUGUUAAAAUAAUUGAUUAUUUUCAUGCAAAAACAAUCGUCAGCCAUAACUAACACAUAUACCUUGAUGAAUUACAUAAA